CGUAGGUAACCUGCCUUGUAGCGGGGGAUAACUAUUGGAAACGAUAGCUAAUACCGCAUAACAAUGGAUGACACAUGUCAUUUAUUUGAAAGGGGCAAUUGCUCCACUACAAGAUGGACCUGCGUUGUAUUAGCUAGUAGGUGAGGUAAUGGCUCACCUAGGCGACGAUACAUAGCCGACCUGAGAGGGUGAUCGGCCACACUGGGACUGAGACACGGUCCAG
rnacentral:rRNA from 1 species